rnacentral:rRNA from 1 species
UGGGGAAUUUUGGACAAUGGGCGCAAGCCUGAUCCAGCCAUGCCGCGUGCGGGAAGAAGGCCUUCGGGUUGUAAAGCACUUUUUGUCCGGAAAGAAAUCCUUGGCUCUAAUACAGUCGGGGGGAUGACGGUACCGGAAGAAUAAGCACCGGCUAACUACGUGCCAGCAGCCGCGGUAAUACGUAGGGUGCAAGCGUUAAUCGGAAUUACUGGGCGUAAAGCGUGCGCAGGCGGUUUGCUAAGACCGAUGUGAAAUCCCCGGGCUCAACCUGGGAACUGCAUUGGUGACUGGCAGGCUAGAGUAUGGCAGAGGGGGGUAGAAUUCCACGUGUAGCAGUGAAAUGCGUAGAGAUGUGGAGGAAUACCGAUGGCGAAGGCAGCCCCCUGGGCCAAUACUGACGCUCAUGCACGAAAGCGUGGGGGAGCAAAACAGGAUUAGAUACCCUGGGUAGUCCACGCCCUAAACGAUGUCAACUAGUUGUUGGGGAUUCAUUUCCUUAGUAACGUAGCUAACGCGUGAAGUUGACCGCCUGGGGAGUACGGUCGCAAGAUUAAAACUUAAAUGAAUUG